GACAAGUUGGCCGAGUGGUCUAAGGCGUUGCGUUAAGAUCCGAAAGGGCGUGGGUUCGAAUCCCACACUUGUCA